rnacentral:rRNA from 1 species
AGUGAACGCUGGCGGUAGGCCUAACACAUGCAAGUCGAACGGCAGCACAGUAAGAGCUUGCUCUUACGGGUGGCGAGUGGCGGACGGGUGAGGAAUACAUCGGAAUCUACUUUUUCGUGGGGGAUAACGUAGGGAAACUUACGCUAAUACCGCAUACGACCUACGGGUGAAAGCAGGGGAUCUUCGGACCUUGCGCGAUUGAAUGAGCCGAUGUCGGAUUAGCUAGUUGGCGGGGUAAAGGCCCACCAAGGCGACGAUCCGUAGCUGGUCUGAGAGGAUGAUCAGCCACACUGGAACUGAGACACGGUCCAGACACCUACGGGAGGCAGCAGUGGGGAAUAUUGGACAAUGGGCGCAAGCCCGAUCCAGCCAUACCGCGUGGGUGAAGAAGGCCUUCGGGUUGUAAAGCCCUUUUGUUGGGAAAGAAAAGCAGCAGGUUAAUACCCCGCUGUUCUGACGGUACCCAAAGAAUAAGCACCGGCUAACUUCGUG